rnacentral:miRNA from 1 species
CAUCAAUAUUGGCUGUGACAU